UACGGGGGGGGCAAGCGUUGUUCGGAAUUACUGGGCGUAAAGGGCUCGUAGGUGGCCAACUAAGUCAGACGUGAAAUCCCUCGGCUUAACCGGGGAACUGCGUCUGAUACUGGAUGGCUUGAGUUCGGGAGAGGGAUGCGGAAUUCCAGGUGUAGCGGUGAAAUGCGUAGAUAUCUGGAGGAACACCGGUGGCGAAGGCGGCGACCUGGGUUGACACUGACGCUGAGGCGCGAAAGCGUGGGGAGCAAACAGG
rnacentral:rRNA from 1 species